GAAGCUGUGGAAGGACGAUGGAGGCUGAUGUAAAGAUCUUCUUGCUCUGUGCCUCUUAACCUUCUAAGCACAUAGCUGGGUCUGCCUGCUCAGCCUGUGAUGUGGCUGGUUUACGGAGAAACUCUCAAGGAUUCCGACACUUGAGGAGUGCUACACUGGGACCCUGAAAAUAAGAAAGUCCUCACCAGAUGCAUCCUCUGGAGUCAAGAUCCUCCCUGGAGUUACCCAUGAUAGUUCUGUGAGUCAUUCAACAAAGUCAUACAAUGGCAGGAUUCCUCAAUAAGGUCAGUGAGUCAGAUGACGUUCAGACCAAGGACACUUUGUUAGAACACCCAUUUCAGGACAGUAUCAUAGAAGGUCAUGGUGCUGUGGAUUUGUGUUGGCUCCUCACCUGAUCGAUUGUCAAGUGUCAGGAUUUCUCAUCUGUCAAAAGUAUUAAAGGAUCAGCUGUGAGUCCCAUGUUCACUCAAAGAAACAAAGACAAAGCAUGCAGAUUUUGACCAGUCACCCUGGAAGAGCUCCCGAACAUUCCCCAGGCCACAGUCUGGAGGUGGCAGGUGAUAGUAUGAACACGUAUGAACUAGAAUAGAACUGAACUGAACAGAAGCUCCCACCGAUGUCUACCAGCUGCUGCAGCUUCGAUGUAUAAAUCAUACUGUGUUCUCGAUGCAUGACUGUUGAUGUGCAUAAUGCUGACUCCCCAGGACUUUCUCCCUUGGUUAGCAGUCAAGGUUGAGGUGUAUACGUUGUUCACCACGCCUGUAUUCACCUGCUCUGUUUUUUUAUGCCCUUUUUAUCAAAGGAGGCUGAGGAUGGAGAGACGGAUGACCUUAGCAGUUCUCUACUCUCUUUUGAUAGACUUCAGGAUGCCUUUCAAAGCUCAAAGGCAGCUGAUGUCUAGCUGAACCCUUGAGUUUGGAACCAGUGACGUCAGCAAUACUCCUGGGCAUGGAUGUACAAGAAUGAACUCUUUCUAAUCAGUGGAAGCCUGUGCAAUGAUCUGAUUUGCUGCUGACUCAGACAGAUUGGGAUUGUUCCAGAGACAGAUUUCUUCCCUCCCUGACUGCCCUCUCCCCACUGCCUUCCUUCCCUGCCCUCUCCUGGUCUGCCUCCUCCUCAGUGCCUCUCUUCCUGCUUGCCGCUUCUCCCCAGCUUUCUCUUCCUGUCUCCUCCUCUCCCCUGUCUACCCUCCCUGCUUUCCUUAUCUGUCUAUCUCAGUCUCCCAUGUAGUUGGGAUUAUAGACCUAUACCAUGAAGCCUGACAUUCUUGAAAUGUUGAAAUUUGAUAGAAUUCAGAACCUUCAGUCUUUGUUUAAAAUGGUAGCUGAGUAGAGACUCAUGUCUUUAAAAAAGUGGUGUGAGUUGUUUAUGUAUUCAGGAAUGUAAUUCUUAUCUGCAAUCAGCCACCGUGAGCAAGCAAAGUACUUGGUUUUUGCAGUAUCUCCAACCAAGGAAAUCAGAAGCUUGUUCUUGGGUAUAUUCAUGAGUUCUAACUUGCAAGAUUAGGGUCAUGUCCACAGAGAGAUUAUGUAGUGUGUUUUCUACACAUCAAAUUCAAGAGGGUCAUCCAGCUUAUAAACUUAUAUCAAGAUGUUACAUACAAUUGUGGGUCCUAAAGAGGAAGUUUUGCUUGGUGAGAAAUAGUUCUAAAAUAUUACACUCCAAGAAUACUACAGACAUUAGGAUAAGAAAACAAAUUCAGGGCCUGGAGAGAUAGUCCAGUGGUUAAGAGCACUGCCUAUAUUUCCGGAGGAUCCAGGUUCAAUUCCCAGCUUCACAUGAUAGCUCACAGACAUCUAUAACUCCUGCCCUGGGAUCUAAUGCCCUCUAUUGGCCUUCAUGGGCAUUGCACUCAUAUAAUUAAAAGGUUACAAAAGAAAGAGAGAAAGGAGGGAGGAAGGGAAGAAGAGAGGAAGGGUGGAAGAAACUCGAAUGAUUUGGAAAAAUAAACCAGAUAAAGUAAGCUAAAGAGGAGACUGGGCUAAUGUGAGUAUAGUCAACCUUCCACAUGUGUUCAACCAACCAAUGACCAAAAGUUUGGAAAAAUGUUUAUCUGUGCCAUAUGCUUGCCUGUGCAGACAUUUUGUGCUCUAAAUGAUACAGUAGGACAGCCGUGUGAGUUACUUUCCUGUUGCUGUGAUAGAGCACCAAGACCAAAAACAACUGGUGGGAGAAAGUUUGUUUUAGUCAGGGGUUAAGUCAGAGGGCUGAGAGGUCAGCCAUGGAGGGAGAAAUAGCAGCGUACCACAGGCAGCAGCAGAGCGUCAAGAGGAGAGAUCCUCAGCCCCAAGCAUGCAGCCAGCCCCAGUGAUGUUCUUCCUCUAAGAAGGCUGUACUUCUCAACCAACCCCAGUCAGUGCCACCCACCAGGAACCAAGUGUUCAAAUGUCUGAGUCCAUGGGGACAUUCUCAUUCAAACCACUACAGCACUUAAUUUCCUUAGUUGGUUCUUAGUUGGGCCCACUGAACAUGGGUUUUUAAAAGAGGAAUUGAUAAUAAGGUGUUAUGGAGAGGAAGUGAAAUGAAAUGAUAAAGUAAAAAUGUUCAAUUGUCUCAGUAGAAGGCAGAGAGAGAGAGAGAGAGAGAGAGAGAGAGAGAGAGAGAGAGAGAGAGAGAGAAAGAUGCAGCCAAGGGAAGGAAACAGAACUCUGAAAGCGACUUGCAAGAUCUCAAACUUUAUUCCAAAAACGGGAACAGCAACCUGAGUCCUGAAUGAUUUAAUCUGGAGAAAGACAGACCUCCUUUAAAGAGCCAGAUGGAACGUAUUUUAGGAGGAAUGAGUUAUAAGAAAGAAAGUGGAUGCUUCUAUUCAAAAGAGCCUUGUGGAAUUUGAUUUGAAUUAGAGUUGUCAAUGUAGCCACAUGUCUUCAAAGUAGACCCACAGACUUAAGCCUGUGCCUAUGCAAGGGUUUGUACACAAAUGUAUGCCCGAGCUCUGAUCUCUGAGUUGCUCUACAAUAAUAAUACUCAGUGUCCAGAUCUUGAUUUCAAAACUUUCCAAUAAAGAAAAUCGGAACCCCUUGGAAAAAAA